ACUGGGGAUAAUACCCUAUAGGUUACAGAUGCUGGAAUGCUCUGUAACCCAAAGUUCCGGCGCCCUAGGAUGGAUCUGCGGCCGAUUAGGUUGUUGUUGGGGUAAUGGCCCAACAAGCCAGUAAUCGGUACGGGUUGUGGGAGCAAGAGCCCGGAGUUGGAUUCUGAGACACGAAUCCAGGCCCUACGGGGCGCAGCAGGCGCGAAAACUUUACAAUGCGGGCAACCGUGAUAAGGGAACCUCGAGUGCCUGUAAAUGCAGGCUGUUUAGGUGUUUAAAACGCACCUGGAGAAAGGGCCGGGCAAGACCGGUGCCAGCCGCCGCGGUAAUACCGGCGGCUCGAGUGGUGGCCACUUUUAUUGGGCUUAAAGCGUUCGUAGCUGGGUUGUUAAGUCUCUUGGGAAAUCUGGCGGCUUAACCGUCAGGCGUCUAAGGGAUACUGGCAAUCUUGGAACCGGGAGAGGUGAGGGGUACUUCGGGGGUAGGAGUGAAAUCCUGUAAUCCUCGAGGGACCACCUGUGGCGAAGGCGCCUCACCAGAACGGCUUCGACAGUGAGGGACGAAAGCUGGGGGAGCAAACCGGAUUAGAUACCCGGGUAGUCCCAGCCGUAAACUAUGCACGUUAGGUGUAUCGGUGACCACGAGUUACCGAGGUGCCGAAGGGAAACCGUGAAACGUGCCGCCUGGGAAGUACGGUCGCAAGGCUGAAACUUAAAGGAAUUGGCGGGGGAGCACCACAACGGGUGGA
rnacentral:rRNA from 1 species